UGAGGAAUUUUGCGCAAUAGGGGAAACCCUGACGCAGCAACGCCGCGUGAGUGAAGAAGGCCCUCGGGUCGUAAGGCUCUGUCAAGUGGGAAAAAAGCUUGCUGGUGAACAGCCAGCAAGACUGAUGGUACCAUUGAAGGAAGCACCGGCUAACUCCGUGCCAGCAGCCGCGGUAAUACGGAGGGUGCAAGCGUUGUUCGGAAUUACUGGGCGUAAAGGGCGUGUAGGCGGUAUGGUAAGUCAGAUGUGAAAGCCCUGGGCUUAACCCAGGAAGUGCAUUUGAAACUGCCAUGCUUGAGUAUGGGAGAGGAGAGUGGAAUUCCCAGUGUAGAGGUGAAAUUCGUAGAUAUUGGGAGGAACACCCGUGGCGAAGGCGACUCUCUGGACCAAUACUGACGCUGAGGCGCGAAAGCGUGGGGAGCAAACAG
rnacentral:rRNA from 1 species